rnacentral:precursor_RNA from 12 species
UGCUGCUGCAUCAUUGUGUGGCCUCAGCAAUAUGUGUGUCCAAAUUAUAUGUGUUUCUUUACAUGUAACCUGGCCACACAUAUUCCUGGAGUAUACCUAUUCUUCCAUAUUUCC